CCUACGGGAGGCAGCAGUGAGGAAUAUUUGUCAAUGGACGAGAGUCUGAACCAGCCAAGUAGCGUGAAGGAUGACUGCCCUAUGGGUUGUAAACUUCUUUUAUAUGGGAAUAAAAUGUUACACGUGUGGGAUUUUGUAUGUACCAUAUGAAUAAGGAUCGGCUAACUCCGUGCCAGCAGCCGCGGUAAUACGGAGGAUCCGAUCGUUAUCCGGCUUUAUUGGGUUUAAAGGGAGCGUAGGGGGCUUGUUAAGUCAGUUGUGAAAUUUUGCGGCUCAACCGUAAAAUUGCAGUUGAAACUGGCCGUCUUUAGUACAGUCGCGGUUGGCGGCAUUCGUGGUGUAGCCGU
rnacentral:rRNA from 1 species